rnacentral:lncRNA from 1 species
GUGCUCAGUUUUACUGUUUAGAUUAAAUCGAGCGCUUGCAAACUUCCCAUCAUUCUGAUUACGGUAGUCAUUUUGUCAUACUGAUUCCUGGGGGUACAACAAAGUAUUUGCAGCCACUCGACAUCAGUGUAAAUCGUGCAUUUAAGGUGGCGCUCCGUGUUCAGCGGGAGGCUUGGAUGACAAGUGGGGAGAAAUCCUUCACUAAAACGGCCCGCAUGCGAAGAGGAACUUAUGGUCAAUUCUGCCAGUGGGUCCUGACAGUGUGGAGCAUUGUCAAAAAAUCCACUAUCAUCAACGGGUUUCGAAAGGCUGGACUGCUGCGUGUUGAAGAGGGCUUAGCGGGGGAUUUGCCUCCGGAUGAAAGUGACGAGAGCGACAAUGAAAACGAUCCAAUAUCGGAUGAAGCAAUUCUGAGGGGGUGGGUAUAAUUUGUGGAACGUUCCAACAGGAAUCCGUUCCAAAAACUUCGUAAAUAACAAGGUUGCCAAAAGACAACGUAUACAAAGUUGUAUACCGGCAGAAUAAGAUACCGGGUAGUGAGUGGUCUAUUUCAUUGCGUUUUUCACUCAUCACGUUUAUUCCGAAAAAUGUCUGUCCUCACUCUGGUUGCCUAUGGACAAACAUUAAGAAUAAGCUACGUGAUUCCUGUUGGAACGUUCCACAAAUUAUACCCCCCCAUUCUGAGGCUAUUCAACUCCGACACCGAAGGAGAUGGUUUCUGUGCACAGGAUGAGGAAGAUAGUGACCAAUGACAUUCUUGGUUUUGACCAUUCCUGCCUGCUCUGACCCUGAGCCUGCCUGCUCCUUUGCCUCCACUCUGGAUUACCGACCUCUGCCUGACCUGACCCCUCCUGGUUUUCCGGUGCCAUACACCCUGUCUGGAUUAUUGACCCAUGCCUCCCUUGACCUGUUCUUUUCCUGCCCCUGUUUAAAG